rnacentral:rRNA from 1 species
UACGGGCGGGGCGAGCGUUAUUCGGAUUCAUUGGGCGUAAAGGGCGCGUAGGCGGCAGUGUAAGUCAGGGGUGAAAUCUCCACGGCUCAACCGGGAAAUUGCCCUUGAUACUGCGUUGCUUGAGUGCGGUAGAGGCAAGUGGAAUUCUCAGUGUAGCGGUGAAAUGCGUAGAUAUUGGGAGGAACACCAGUGGCGAAGGCGACUUGCUGGGCCGUAACUGACGCUGAGGCGCGAAAGCCAGGGGAGCGAA